AGGGGGUGGGGCGGGCUGGGUGUUUUGUUUUUCAGUUAUACUUAGGUGUCCAAGGAAGGGAGGUCUCAAUGAGGAAGUCAGCCCCCUCCCCUGGCCUCAUGCAUGCCAGGCAAGCGCCCACCACUGGGCCACACCCCCAGCCUGAGAAAGAACCAGCUGAGCAAAGGGAAGGAGCCUCCUCCUACCCAUUCAGCUGCACCUUAGCAUCUCGGCUCCAGCUCCCCGAGGCUGUCGCAAGCACUGGGGCCUCAGCCACGAACCAGACAGACUGGAUUGGGUCUCUGCUGCCCUGGACUUCAUAUCUGUGUGUCUGGCCCUGAAGCUGCUUCUCCACAGGGCAGAGUAUGGACCAGUGGAUGCUCUGAAUUAUUUCCAAUUUGAAGUUAGACACACUGGUAACUGCAUGUGAUCUGAUUGUUAAACAUUUCUGCAUCAUUUGAAAUAACAUCGCUAUCAAGCCAGGUGUGGUGGCCCACACCUGCAAUCUCAGCACUCUGAGAGGCUGAGGCAGGAGGCUCAAGUUUGAGGCCAGCCUGGACAGCUCAGUGACUUCCCAAGACCCUGUCUCAAAAUAAAAAUAUAAAAAGGGCUAGGGAUGUAGCUCAGUGCAAAAGCCUUGGGUUCAAUCUCCAGUACUAACACACACACACACACACACACACACACACACACACACCACUAUUAGAAAGAGCUCCUGGUCAGGACAUGGGUCCUGGUUUGGGGUCCAGAAAGGAUGGCAGAGGAACAGGCCCCAUACUGCUGUCCCUACGGGAGUGAGGCCCUAAGCAGGCAGCCUUUCCCCAACCCCUGCACAGAAGGGAAAACAUCCAACAGGCUUUGGAGAGGCUGGGGCAGGCUGCAAAGCCAGGUGGGCCAGCCAUGGAGAUGGUGGAAGCCAGGUUGGAGCCUCUGGGUUUUGUUCUGAGGGUAUGGGGAGCCACUGAAGACUUCUGAGUUGGAGAAUGACCCACCCUGUGCUGUUUUAACUGGUGGCAUCAUGGAGAACAGAGAGAAAAGUCUAGUUGUUUGAGGCAGGCAGGCCAGUGAGGAGGCACUGGCUUUGUCCAGGUAGAGUGAGGCAGACACGCGUCUAUUACAAUGCUCCCUGCCUCAGGAAACGUCACCAUCCUCACCCGGCCCCCAUGCUGGGCUUCUUCUCCCCUACAUUGGUUCCAUCCCUAAGAUAUUUGGGGUUUUGGUCCCAAAUUCCUCCCCUCUACCUGUGUGGACCCUGCCUUUCGAGGCCCAGGCCAAGGCCGUGGCUCCCUACCCUCCCAACCCCAGCCUGGCACUGCUGGACAUGCCCUAAAAUGUGGCCAGAGGCAUCCUUCAAACCCAGUCUGCGCUUGCUCCCUCGUUUGGCCCGGGCAUAGCGAAUGUCCACGCUGUGUGUCGUUUGAAGGGAAUCAGCAUCAGCCAGAGUACACAGGGUCAGGCAAGGCCUCUCUGAGGACCAAGACACUGGGGACACUGGAGCUGAGGUCCAGUGGGUGAGUGGGACGGGGAAAGAGGUUUUAGGAAGUGGGUCCAGCUAGAGAGAAGGCCUGAGGCAGGGGUGGGACAGUGGAGGAAGCAGAGUCCUGUUCCCACACCAGCCGUCCCGCAAUGGUGUCCGCUUGUCCUAGGAUGGUGGCUUGGGAGGUGCAGGGACUGGGCCUGGGCAGGUGGCAGAGCUGGCUUCUGAGGGGCUGGGAAUAGAUGUAGAUGUAAGGACCCUAUUUGUUAACAGCUUUAUUGAAAUAUUAGUUCCAUACCAUAAAAUUCACCCUUCCGAAGCGUUCAACUCAGUGGCUUUUAGUGUAUUCACAGAGUUGUGCAACUAUCACCACUAUCCACUUUCAGAACAUUCAGUCAUCCAGUGAGACCCUGAACCCAUUAGCAGUCACUCCCCAGUCUCUCCUUCCACCAGCCCUGGACACCACUAAUCUACUUUCUGUCUCUAUGGAUUUGCCAGUUUUGGAAAUUUCCUAUAAAUGGAAUCAGACAACAUGUGACCUUUUGUGUCUGCCUUCUUUCCACUUAGCAUAAUGUUUUUAAGAUUCAUCCACAUAGCAGCAUGAAUAAGUAUUUCAUACCUUUUCAUGGCUAAAUAAUAGUCCACUGCAUGGAUUUAUCCCAUUUUGUCCAUCCAUUCAUCUAUAAAUGUACGUUUAGGUUGUUUCUACUUUGGGGCUGUUAUGAAUGAUGCUGGUACAAACAUUCACAUAUGUUUUUGUG
rnacentral:lncRNA from 1 species